rnacentral:sRNA from 1 species
ACUCAACACGAAUUCUUUAAAAAGGGUGAGUCUAAGUUGUAAAAGCGUGCCGUGUCCUUUUUCGGUAUAUCCGGAAGAGGAGAGCGGAUCCUUGAUCAGCUUGUUAGCCCUAAACCUGAUUUUAAGGAGUUU